rnacentral:rRNA from 1 species
GAUGAACGCUGGCGGCGUGCUUAACACAUGCAAGUCGAACGAACCUUCGGGUUAGUGGCGGACGGGUGAGUAACGCGUGGGAAUCUGCCCUCAGGAGGGGGAUAACGGUUGGAAACGACCGCUAAUACCCCAUAUGCCGAGAGGUGAAAUGAAUUUCGCCUGAGGAUGAGCCCGCGUCUGAUUAGCUUGUUGGUGAGGUAAUGGCUCACCAAGGCAUCGAUCAGUAGCUGGUCUGAGAGGAUGAUCAGCCACACUGGGACUGAGACACGGCCCAGACUCCUACGGGAGGCAGCAGUGGGGAAUUUUCCGCAAUGGGCGAAAGCCCGACGGAGCAACGCCGCGUGAGGGACGAAGGCCUCUGGGCUGUAAACCUCUUUUCUCAAGGAAGAAGAUAUGACGGUACUUGAGGAAUAAGCCACGGCUAAUUCCGUGCCAGCAGCCGCGGUAAUACGGGAGUGGCAAGCGUUAUCCGGAAUUAUUGGGCGUAAAGCGUCCGCAGGCGGCCCUUCAAGUCUGCUGUUAAAACGUGGAGCUUAACUCCAUCAUGGCAGUGGAAACUGAUUGGCUUGAGUAUGGUAGGGGCAGAGGGAGUCCCCGGUGUAGCGGUGAAAUGCGUAGAUAUCGGGAAGAACACCAGUGGCGAAGGCGCUCUGCUGGGCCAUUACUGACGCUCAUGGACGAAAGCCAGGGGAGCGAAAGGGAUUAGAUACCCCUGUAGUCCUGGCCGUAAACGAUGAACACUAGGUGUCGGGGGAAUCGACCCCUUCGGUGUCGUAGCUAACGCGUUAAGUGUUCCGCCUGGGGAGUACGCACGCAAGUGUGAAACUCAAAGGAAUUGACGGGGGCCCGCACAAGCGGUGGAGUAUGUGGUUUAAUUCGAUGCAACGCGAAGAACCUUACCAGGGCUUGACAUCCUGCGAACCUUUAAGAAAUUAGAGGGUGCCUUCGGGAACGCAGUGACAGGUGGUGCAUGGCUGUCGUCAGCUCGUGUCGUGAGAUGUUGGGUUAAGUCCCGCAACGAGCGCAACCCACGUUUUUAGUUGCCAGCAUUUAGUUGGGCACUCUAGAAAGACCGCCGGUGAUAAACCGGAGGAAGGUGUGGAUGACGUCAAGUCAUCAUGCCCCUUACGUCCUGGGCUACACACGUACUACAAUGCUACGGACAGAGGGCAGCAAACUCGCGAGAGCUAGCAAAUCCCAUAAACCGUGGCUCAGUUCAGAUCGUAGGCUGCAACUCGCCUACGUGAAGUAGGAAUCGCUAGUAAUCGCAGGUCAGCAUACUGCGGUGGAUACGUUCCCGGGCCUUGUACACACCGCCCGUC